rnacentral:rRNA from 1 species
AUUGAACGCUGGCGGCAGGCCUAACACAUGCAAGUCGAGCGAGCGGCGGACGGGUGAGUAAUGUAUGGGGACUGCCCGAUAGAGGGGGAUAACUACUGGAAACGGUGGCUAAUACCGCCUUCUAUCGGCUAAACCAUAUGGGUGUAGCUAGUCGGGGGGGUAAAGGCUCACCUAGGCGCCGAUCUCGAGCUGGUCUGUGAGGAUGAUCAGCCACACUGGAACUGAGCAACGGCCCAGACUCCUACGGAGGCAGCAGUGGGGAGUAUUGCACAAUGGGCGCAAGCCUGAUGCAGCCAUGCCGCGUGUGUGAAGAAGGCCUUAGGGUUGUAAAGUACUUUCAGCGGGGAGGCGUUACCCGCAGAAGAAGCACCGGCUAACUCCGUGCCAGCAGCCGCGGUAAUAC